GGCUUGUUGGUCUAGGGGUAUGAUUUUCGCUUGGUGUGCGAGAGGUCCUGGGUUCAAAUCCCGGACGAGCCC
rnacentral:tRNA from 1 species